rnacentral:misc_RNA from 1 species
ACUGAAUAUGUUCCGGUUAUUACCCGGGUGGCAACUCCUAUCUAUCUAUGUCUUUGUGGCAUAAAUCUUUAGUAUCGUGGUAGUGUUAUGGAAGACGAUACUUAUCAGUGGUUUGAUUCUAUUAGGAUUAUAUGAAGUGCAUGUCUAGGAAAUGUUGUCUAAGAAGGUGGUACUUAACUAAAACCAUUGUGACUCUACCAUCUUUCCUGGGCAUUACCUGAUAUAUUUUAUAUAAUUCUAGUGGAUGA